AGCGAACGCUGGCGGCAGGCCUAACACAUGCAAGUCGAACGAAGUCUUCGGACUUAGUGGCGGACGGGUGAGUAACACGUGGGAACGUGCCUUUAGGUUCGGAAUAACUCAGGGGAACUUGUGCUAAUACCGAAUGUGCCCUUCGGGGGAAAGAUUUAUCGCCUUUAGAGCGGCCCGCGUCUGAUUAGCUAGUUGGUGAGUAAAGGCUCACCAAGGCGACGAUCAGUAGCUGGUCUGAGAGGAUGAUCAGCCACAUUGGGACUGAGACACGGCCCAAACUCCUACGGGAGGCAGCAGUGGGGAAUCUUGCGCAAUGGGCGAAAGCCUGACGCAGCCAUGCCGCGUGAAUGAUGAAGGUCUUAGGAUUGUAAAAUUCUUUCACCGGGGACGAUAAUGACGGUACCCGGAGAAGAAGCCCCGGCUAACUUCGUGCCAGCCGCCGCAGUAACAC
rnacentral:rRNA from 1 species